CAGAGAAUCGAAACGACGACGUAGAGAUAGAGAAGACCAUUGCAGUAAUAAUUGGACUCAUUGCUGGAAUUGCCUUCAUCGUUGUCUUCCUCGCUUUCCUAAGCCAUUAUUGUGACAAACAAAGAGGUGGCAAAUGAAGUGAACUUUAAAUGGAUGC